CCUACGGGUGGCAGCAGUGAGGAAUAUUGGUCAAUGGGCGGAAGCCUGAACCAGCCAAGUAGCGUGCAGGAUGACGGCCCUACGGGUUGUAAACUGCUUUUAUACGGGAAUAACGCGCCUUACGCGUAGGGCUUUGCAGGUACCGUAUGAAUAAGGACCGGCUAAUUCCGUGCCAGCAGCCGCGGUAAUACGGAAGGUCCGGGCGUUGUCCGGAUUUAUUGGGUGUAAAGGGAGCGUAGGCCGCAUGUCAAGCGUGCUGUGAAAUGUCCGGGCUCAACCCGGGCCUUGCAGCGCGAACUGGCGUGCUUGAGUCCGCGGAAGGCAGGCGGAAUUCGUCGUGUAGCGGUGAAAUGCUUAGAUAUGACGAAGAACCCCGAUUGCGAAGGCAGCUUGCUGCAGCGCAACUGACGCUGAUGCUCGAAAGCGCGGGGAUCGAACAGGAUUAGAUACCCCAGUAGUC
rnacentral:rRNA from 1 species